rnacentral:rRNA from 1 species
AGGAUUAACGCUGGCGGCGUGCAUGAAACAUGCAAGUCGAGCGCGGUGUGAUGAGGGGUAACCCAAUUCACAUCUAGCGGCGAACGGGUGAGUAACACGUGAGCAACCUACCUUUGAGUUGGGGAUAGCCCUGGGAAACCAGGAUUAAUACCCGAUGUGGUCACAACAGGACAUCCUGAUGUGAGUAAAGGCGUAAGCCGCUCAAUGACGGGCUCGCGGCCUAUUAGCUUGUUGGUGGGGUAACGGCCUACCAAGGCGAUGAUGGGUAGCUGGUCUGAGAGGACGAUCAGCCACACUGGGACUGAGACACGGCCCAGACUCCUACGGGAGGCAGCAGUUAGGAAUUUUCCGCAAUGGGCGAAAGCCUGACGGAGCAACGCCGCGUGAGUGAUGAAGACCUUCGGUUGUAAAGCUCUGUCGGAGGGAAGAACACAAUGACGGUACCUCCAAGAAAGACCCGGCUAACUACGCGCCAGCAGCCGCGGUAA